GCAGCCAUGGCGGGUGAAGGAAGCCGAGAUCGAGUGCUUCUGGGCAGCUUGGUGUACUUAACGAUGCUGUUGGCGCCAGGUCUGGCUCAGAACUUCACCCAAUUCGCCUAUGACUAUGCUCCCUACUUGCGGUUCGACAGCACGGCGGGCUCGGGGGAGCGGUGCUUCCCGCAAGCGGCCGCGGAGUACUACGAGGCGCGGCUGGCGGGGGACUGGUCCCGCAAGUGCAACACUAACUACUCCUCUCUGGAGGCCGGGGAGGUGCCCACCUACUGGCACGCCCUCACCUGCGGAUACCACCUGCACAUAGCCUACUGGAACUUCUACGGCUACAACCACAACUGUGACUGUUGCUCCGGCGAGAGAGACGCUUGGUGGGAGUCUAUUGUCAUCAAGGUUCGCGACUGGGAGCUGAGCCCACACCUGCACGAGGUCAUGUUUGGUCAGAAGAAAGGUUGGUACACACGGAUCCCGGGGCACUAUGAGACGCAAGGCACCAGUCACCCUGUCGCUUACGUGGGCAAGAACAACCACGGCGCCUACCAUGACGACGGUGGCACUGGCUCCUGUUGUUACUAUGAAGACUACCGCAACCCAGGCAGCCCUGACCAGUCCCUGGAGACUUGGGUGAAUCUGGUGGAGCUGCGUCAGGAGGACGGGGCCGAGGACUGGAUGGGUGACCCUAACAGCGAUGUGUGGAGUGGCAUCCUUCCUCCAACCUUCAGGACGGACUGGGACCUGUGUGCUCUCACCAGCUGCACUGGUUCGACUCUCCAGGUGUGUGGUACAUGUGGCUGCCACAAGAGUGACGUUAGCGAGGGUCCCUUCUGAUACCCCGGCUCCACAUGUGUAUUCAUACACAUGUGCCUCCCCACACCUGCCUCAGGCAACACAUGUAUCCUUUCACACACCUACUGAGUGCCUGCGCCGUGUGGCUGUAGCUCUCCACCCCCGCCUCUGCCCGGUGGAGUGAGUUACAGGUAUACCAACAUUACCAAUCAUAAAAGUUAACACAAUUGUAAAUUGCUUCCUGGCCCGGGCUCUCGGGGCAGGUACGGGGCCUAAUUAUGCCAAUUAAACUGAUCCGAAAUUAAAAA
rnacentral:misc_RNA from 1 species